AGUUAAAAAAUUCAUCCAUUUCUAUAGUUAAUAACUGGCAUAGCUGACAAAAUAAUCAGAUAGUUACACGUGGUGUGUCAUGUGUACCUCAUCUCGACAUACAAAGACCAGUUUUUAACCAUAGAAAUGGAUGAAAUUUUUAACA
rfam:Gossypium arboreum cultivar AKA8401 contig_473_13, whole genome shotgun sequence.